GAUGAAGAACGCAGCGAAACGCGAUAAGUAAUGUGAAUUGCAGAAUCCAGUGAAUCAUCGAAUCUUUGAACGCACAUUGCGCCCGCCAGCAUUCUGGCGGGCAUGCCUGUUCGAGCGUCAUUUCAACCCUCGACCUCCCCUUGGGGAGGUCGGCGUUGGGGACCGGCAGCACACCGCCGGCCCUGAAAUGGAGUGGCGGCCCGUCCGCGGCGACCUCUGCGCAGUAAUACAGCUCGCACCGGGACCCCGACGCGGCCACGCCGUAAAACACCCAACUUCUGAACGUUGACCUCGAAUCAGGUAGGACUACCCGCUGAACUUAAGCAUAUCAAUAAGCGAAGGA
rnacentral:misc_RNA from 1 species